UACGUAGGGUGCGAGCGUUGUCCGGAAUUAUUGGGCGUAAAGAGCUUGUAGGCGGUUUGUCGCGUCUGCUGUGAAAAUCCGGGGCUCAACCCCGGACUUGCAGUGGGUACGGGGCAGACUAGAGUGUGGUAGGGGAGACUGGAAUUCCUGGUGUAGCGGUGGAAUGCGCAGAUAUCAGGAGGAACACCGAUGGCGAAGGCAGGUCUCUGGGCCACUACUGACGCUGAGAAGCGAAAAGCAUGGGGGAGCGAACAGG
rnacentral:rRNA from 1 species